rnacentral:rRNA from 1 species
UACAGAGGUCUCAAGCGUUGUUCGGAUUCAUUGGGCGUAAAGGGUGCGUAGGCGGCGCGGUAAGUCGGAUGGUGAAAUCUCGGGGCUUAACUCCGAAACUGCAUUCGAUACUGCCGUGCUUGAGGACUGGAGAGGAGACGUGGAAUUUACGGUGUAGCGGUGAAAUGCGUAGAUAUCGUAAGGAAGACCAGUGGCGAAGGCGGAUCUCUGGACAGCUCCUG